rnacentral:rRNA from 1 species
GAUGAACGCUAGCUACAGGCUUAACACAUGCAAGUCGAGGGGCAGCACAGUGUAGCAAUACACGGGUGGCGACCGGCGCACGGGUGCGUAACACGUAUCCAAUCUGCCCGUUACUCGGGGAUAGCCUUCUGAAAGGAAGAUUAAUACCCGAUAGUAUCCAUUAGCGGCAUCGCCUAUGGAUUAAAGAUUUCUCGGUAACGGAUGAGGGUGCGUACGAUUAGCUGGUUGGUGGGGUAACGGCCCACCAAGGCGACGAUCGUUAGGGGUUCUGAGAGGAAGGUCCCCCACACUGGAACUGAGACACGGUCCAGACUCCUACGGGAGGCAGCAGUGAGGAAUAUUGGUCAAUGGUCGAGAGACUGAACCAGCCAAGUAGCGUGAAGGAUGACUGCCCUACGGGUUGUAAACUUCUUUUGUUUGGGAAUAAAUGAUACUACGUGUAGUAUUUUGCAUGUACCUUACGAAUAAGCAUCGGCUAAUUCCGUGCCAGCAGCCGCGGUAAGAC